UACGUAGGUGGCAAGCGUUGUCCGGAUUUACUGGGCGUAAAGAGCGCGCAGGCGGCUGAUUAAGUCCGAUGUGAAAUCUCCCGGCUCAACCGGGAAACUGCACCGGAAACUGAUCGGCUUGAAGGUGGGAGAGGGUAGUGGAAUUCCCGGUGUAGUGGUGAAAUGCGUAGAUAUCGGGAGGAACACCAGUGGCGAAGGCGACUACCUGGCCCAUUCUUGACGCUGAGGCGCGAAAGCUAGGGGAGCGAACGGG
rnacentral:rRNA from 1 species